rnacentral:rRNA from 1 species
UACAGAGGUCUCAAGCGUUGUUCGGAUUCAUUGGGCGUAAAGGGUGUGUAGGCGGCCGCGUAAGUCGGAUGUGAAAGCCCUGGGCUCAACCCAGGAAGUGCACUCGAUACUGCGUGGCUCGAGUACUGGAGAGGUUGGUGGAAUUCUCGGUGUAGAGGUGAAAUUCGUAGAUAUCGAGAGGAACACCGGUGGCGAAGGCGGCCAACUGGACAGAUACUGACGCUGAGACACGAAAGCGUGGGGAGCAAACAGG